CCUACGGGAGGCAGCAGUAGGGAAUUUCCGCAAUGGACGCAAGUCUGACGGAGCAACGCCGCGUGAGCGAUGAAGGUCUUCGGAUCGUAAAGCUCUGUUGUCAGGGAAGAACACGUGUGAGAGUAACUGCUCACACCUUGACGGUACCUGACCAGAAAGCCACGGCUAAUACGUGCCAGCAGCCGCGGUAAU
rnacentral:rRNA from 1 species